GUCAUGUACCAAUGCAGUCAUGUACCAAUGCAGUAAUGUACUGUACCUAGAUGUGACAGAAACAAAACAACAGUGUUGAUGUGUUCAAAUUGAAGUUCAUCAGUGGAGGUAAAUAGCUGGCUGGCUGGCUGGCAGACAGGGAGGCAGGCAGGCAGACAGGGAGGCAGGCAGACAGGGAGGCAGGCAGGCAGACAGGGAGGCAGACAGGCAGACAGGGAGGCAGGCAGACAGGGAGGCAGGCAGACAGGGAGGCAGACAGGCAGACAGGGAGGCAGACAGGCAGACAGACAGGGAGGCAGGCAGACAGGCAGGCAGACAGACAGGGAGGCAGGCAGGCAGACAGACAGGGAGGCAGGCAGACAGGGAGGCAGACAGGCAGACAGACAGGGAGGCAGGCAGGCAAUUUAGCUUUAACAUUCAUCAUCAGUACCCCUCCACGGCUUCUUCUCUCGCUCUCCCUCCAUCCUUCUCUCUCUCUCUCUCUCUCCCUUCUCCCUCUUUGUCAUACACACUCAUACACUCUCUCUCUCCCCCUUCCCCCUACACUCUCCCUCUUGGCCAUUAAUUGUGUCAUUAAGCAGUCUGCAUGAGGAGCAGAAUGCUCCAGGGUACUGGGGUCUAAAUGACACCGUCGUCUCAGACGAGACCCAGCGAGGAAGACAUGUCAACAUGAUCUGGGAGACGCGUACAAAGCUCUCCCUCGCCCUCCAUUUGGCAAAUCUGACCACAACUCUAUCCUCCUGAUUCCUGCUUACAAGCUGAAAUUAAAGCAGGAAGCACCAGUGACUCGGUCUAUAAAAAAGUGGUCAGAUGAAGCAGAUGCUAAACUACAGGACUGUUUUGCUAUGACAGACUGGAACAUUUUCCGGGAUUCUUCCGAUUGCAUUGAGGAGUACACCACAUCAGUCACUGGCUUUAUCAAUAGGUGCGAUGACGAGGACGUCGUCGCCACAGUGACUGUACGUACAUACCCCAACCAGAAGCCAUGGAUUACAGGCAACAUUCGCACUGAGC
rnacentral:lncRNA from 1 species